CACCAGCCACCAUUUAUGAAUUCCAACUGGCCAGCAUCUACAAGUUUCCUCACUUGCUCUUGUAUUUCCUCGCUUUGUUCUAGCCACCAUCGUUGGAAAAAUGCCAUUUCAACAAAAACAAACUUCCUGUUUGGAUCUCGAAGCAGGGAUUCCACAACUGAGUCCAGCACAUUUUCAACACAAGCACCCUGAAUACUGUUGUUUGAUCCAACAUAGUACUGAUCAAUAGUCUUUAACCAACCAACAUCAUCAUGUGUAUGUGCUACCAAAUGAACAUUGAGUUUUCCUUGCAC
rnacentral:misc_RNA from 1 species